AGAGUGCUGACUGUGAGCAGGGCACUGUGUGGGCACUUUACAAGCAUUUUCCUGUUUCAUGUUCACAUCAAUGCUAGGAGUUAUGUCCAUUUUACAGACAAAGAAACUGAGAGGAAGAGGUCCAUGGCUAAUAAAUCAUAGAGCUGGGAUUUCUGUCUGACUUCUCUGCUUUGCCCAGGAAGAAGGGGCAAAGUCUACCCCAGGGGCAGAUGACCCAAUAAGCAAGGGUUCUGCUUCUAGGUAUGGCUGGCAUCUGUCUCUCUCCCAGCCCCACAACACCAUCCUACAGAUUCAAAGCCUCUUUUCAAAUACAAUACCUGACAGGGAUAGAGUACCCAGUAAGCCAAGACUGCAAGCAAGAGCCCUGCUCUCUGACCUGCC